AUGCAAGUCGAGCGAAUGGAUUAAGAGCUUGCUCUUAUGAAGUUAGCGGCGGACGGGUGAGUAACACGUGGGUAACCUGCCCAUAAGACUGGGAUAACUCCGGGAAACCGGGGCUAAUACCGGAUAACAUUUUGAACCGCAUGGUUCGAAAUUGAAAGGCGGCUUCGGCUGUCACUUAUGGAUGGACCCGCGUCGCAUUAGCUAGUUGGUGAGGUAACGGCUCACCAAGGCAACGAUGCGUAGCCGACCUGAGAGGGUGAUCGGCCACACUGGGACUGAGACACGGCCCAGACUCCUACGGGAGGCAGCAGUAGGGAAUCUUCCGCAAUGGACGAAAGUCUGACGGAGCAACGCCGCGUGAGUGAUGAAGGCUUUCGGGUCGUAAAACUCUGUUGUUAGGGAAGAACAAGUGCUAGUUGAAUAAGCUGGCACCUUGACGGUACCUAACCAGAAAGCCACGGCUAACUACGUGCCAGCAGCCGCGGUAAUACGUAGGUGGCAAGCGUUAUCCGGAAUUAUUGGGCGUAAAGCGCGCGCAGGUGGUUUCUUAAGUCUGAUGUGAAAGCCCACGGCUCAACCGUGGAGGGUCAUUGGGAACUGGGAGACUUGAGUGCAGAAGAGGAAAGUGGAAU
rnacentral:rRNA from 1 species